AAACCAUGAUAUGGACAUCUCCUCAGAAGUUCUCCAAAGCGCUCCCAUGUCUCAAACUGAUAUUCAAACUCAUAUUGUUGAAAAUUGGAGAUUUUUGUCAUUAGCUU